rnacentral:rRNA from 1 species
UACGAAGGGGGCUAGCGUUGCUCGGAAUCACUGGGCGUAAAGCGCACGUAGGCGGCUUUUUAAGUCAGAGGUGAAAUCCUGGAGCUCAACUCCAGAACUGCCUUUGAUACUGAAGAUCUUGAGUUCGGGAGAGGUGAGUGGAACUGCGAGUGUAGAGGUGAAAUUCGUAGAUAUUCGCAAGAACACCAGUGGCGAAGGCGGCUCACUGGCCCGAUACUGACGCUGAGGCACGAGAGCGUGGGGAGCAAACAGG